UUGACAUUAUGUUUACCUAUUACUAUUUUAACCUUACCAAAAAUUUUAAAAAAGUAGCCCAUUCUUGUUAAAUUUCUUUUACAAGUAACACCAAAGGUCUUAAGAUUACAUUGUCUAGAUGUGUUCUCAUUGGCACUAUUCUUUAAGCUCCUGUUGAAUUAGACAAUCUGAUAUUAACAAAUGAUGAAAGUAACACCAAAGGUCUUAAGAUUACAUUGUCUAGAUGUGUUCUCAUUGGCACUAUUCUUUAAGCUCCUGUUGAAUUAGACAAUCUGAUAUUAACAAAUGAUGAAAGUAACACCAAAGGUCUUAAGAUUACAUUGUCUAGAUGUGUUCUCAUUGGCACUAUUCUUUAAGCUCCUGUUGAAUUAGACAAUCUGAUAUUAACAAAUGAUGAAAGUAACACCAAAGGUCUUAAGAUUACAUUGUCUAGAUGUGUUCUCAUUGGCACUAUUCUUUAAGCUCCUGUUGAAUUAGACAAUCUGAUAUUAACAAAUGAUGAAAGUAACACCAAAGGUCUUAAGAUUACAUUGUCUAGAUGUGUUCUCAUUGGCACUAUUCUUUAAGCUCCUGUUGAAUUAGACAAUCUGAUAUUAACAAAUGAUGAAUGAUAUUAAUUCAUCAAUAAGCAUUAUUCAUGUUGAGCUUCUUGUGACAGAUAAGAGGUAAAUAAAAACUGAGAAGCAUUUUAAA